GAAUGUAGUGUAAAGCGCUUUGGGGUCCAUAGGGACUAAUUAAAGUGCUAUACAAAUACAGGCCAUUUACCAUUCCCAAUCGCUUCUACUUUGUUAUAUUACCACCAACAGUUGACAGUGGAAUAUUUAGUAACAAGUAAGUUUCAUGACUGGACUUGCUGCACGCUGGCAUCUUAUCAGGGUACAAUGGUGGAAUCCACUGAGCUCCUGAGAGUGACCUGUUCUUUCACAAAUGUUUGUAGAAGAUGCCUGCAUGCCUACAUGUUCGAUUUUACACACAUGUGACCCUGGAAGUGAUUAGAACACCUUGAGUCCACGAUUUGGAUGGGUGAGUGAAUGCUGUGUAAAUGCUCCUACUCUAGCUUUAACUCACUUGAAUCCUGCAACUUCUACUAAAAUGAAAUUAUUUAACUGGCCUAACACAGCAGGCUGGUGUGUCCAGCUUCGCAGGCCUUGGCACAACCAACUCGAGUACAGGUGGCUGGGAAUCAGAGUUUGGACACAGGCAGUCGAUUGCUAGAACAAGAAUUCAUACAUAGAAUUCAGAAGAACUUUUUGAGCUGUUUUGUACUGUGAUAUUGUACUCAAUUUAUUAAGCUAAGUUGUUUAUUGUGAUUUGCUACUGUAAGACUAAUAAAAUUACAAAGUAUGUCUUAUCCUUUUUUCAGCUGCGGGUACUAAGCUCUGUAGAUAAUGUAAUCCUUUUUUUUGCCUAUCAUGGCUUUUACUGGUUGCCGUGACAUAUACGAAUCGUUUACAGUUGAAAGUAAAUUAAGCUGUUGUUUUUGUCUGCGGCAUCGUAAUUGUUUGCCAGUUAUUAUUUAUUCUGAAGUAUUUUUCUCCUGCUAUUAACCCUGAUUCAUUGCCUCUAAUAUUUCUGCAAAUACUCCAAAACACAUUCAUCUCUUUGGCGUUUUUGUAACUAUAGCCAACUUUUUUCCCCCCUCUGUUUUGCCAAAAAUUUAUGACAUGAAUAUUGCUUUUUAAUUUAUUGCCAGUGGAAUUCAAAAUAUUGCUUAUGUAAACAAAUGCAGAGCCAAUAAUUUUGAACUGGGCAUAUACCAUCAAUAACCCAUGCAGUUACAAGGAAAAACUGAGCACAUGGAUUCUCUGCCUCUUGGCUUAUUUAGAUGUCGAGGAGCUGCAGAAUCUACACAAAUGAAUGCACACAUACAUGCAGACAUACUUGCACUCCUACUAACCCCUGCUGAUAAUUAAGCCUGGGCAAAAGUUUAGACCUGUUUUGUGAAGUAUGUGGCUGUUUGUGUGUAAGUGGUGAUGAUAUCGGAGCAAUCAGUGCUAUUGAUCAAAGAGAUAGGUGGGGGGUGGCAGGUCGCUUAAGCCAACUCUCUCACACACACGCACACACACACACACACAGAGAACUACCAUCAAGCCCUGUUUCAGCCCAUUCAAUCACAUUCGGCUCAAUCCCAUACACCACUGGAUGAGGCUCACACAGUGAUCCCCAGAGAGCAAACCGCCUGUCCUGCACUUUUAUGUAUGAAGGUUCUAUUCAAGAACCUUUUGCCACCAAUCACCACCUGCUAUUACUCCACGCUGAUGACUUAACUCUUUCACUGCCAAACUAAGAGAACAACUUUUUAGUUAAAGCAAGUGUGCCACUUCCAAUAUAACUGCCGUGAGUGUGCAAUUCACUGAGAAGGAUGACUGCUAAAGGCCUGGAAAAAGCUGUAUUGGAUGUGUGAAAAACAGUGUUUUUAAUAACACACUAAUGCACUUCCAAGGAAUCAAAUGACACAGAUGACUGAUUGUAAUAAUUAAAGCACCAAAUGCCUAAGUAGAAGACAAUGCCUAAGAGCUUAUGAGUUACUGAAUUACUCAAAUAAAAAAAACUGUCCCAACAGGGCAAAACUAUUUUGUUGGACUUUAGUUGGCACAAUAUUACCAUAAGCAGCAUAGUAUAUUUUUAGGUAUGCACGUGUGUGCUUGUGCUGGUGUUUGAGAGACCUGUAGAAAUUGUCUGCCUGUGAACAUGUUUUACCGAUGCAAAAGUGCAGCACCUGUGAUAGAUACAGCUUUAUAUUUUUAUAGGUUGGCUCAAAAGGAAAGAUGUGAGUGGUCUAGCACAUGAGUAUUGAGCUAAGUGCUCAAUUUGUUUAAUUGUAAAUGGAUUUACAAUAAUUUAUAUUAGUAUUUUAUAUUAUUUAUAUUUACAUUUCAUAUAUUUGAAAUAUUUAUAUUUCAAUUUUUCAGAACUUUUACACGAUAAUACACACAUACACACAUACAGUGAUGCAUACAGUGCUUUAUGGGUGUAUUAUCUAGUAAUGGUGUACUCUUUUUAAUCACUCAUUAAAAGCUUUUUGUCUACUUAAAUUGCUGCUUAUGGUUAUAACUGCUUAUAAUUAACCAUUACUACUACUAUUAAUACAAAACUGCCUUUCGCUUAAUAUCUCUAUUUUUGCCGUUUCUUUUGGUUUACGAAUCUAAACUCCAGGAAUAACAGCAAUUUUUAAACAACGAAAAACAAAAGAAAAACGUCUUUUUCUGCCUUUUUUUCAUCAUCUGCCUCCAUCUAACCCUAUCCCUAGCCACACCAACACCUCUUCAUGUUCUCCUUCACUACACUGAUGAACCUUCUUUAUAGUGUUCCUCUUUUCCUCUUGCCUAGAAGCUUUAUCUUUAUUCAUUUGUCCAGUAUAUCCACUGUCUCUCCUCUGCACAUGUCCAAACAUCUCAGCCUUUCCUCUUUAACUUUGCCUCCAAAGUGCUCAAUGUGAGCUGUCCCACUGAUAUACUCAUGUCUAAUCUUGUCCAUGCAGGUCACUCCCAGUGGAAAUCUUUAGAGAUCCAUCUCUGUGACCUUCAUCUUCACUUCGUGUCAUUCUGUCAGUGCCAGUAACUCCAGACCUUACAUCAUAGCAGGGGAUACCUCCACCUCUCCGGGCUCUCUUCCACCUGCUCCUUAUUCACACUACAGAUCACAAUGUCGUCUGUGAACAUCAUAGUCCAUGGAGUGUCCUGCCUGACCUCAUCUGUUAACCUGCCCAUCACCAUCACAAACAAGAAAGGGCCCAGAGCCGAUCCCUGAUGUAAUCCCACCCCCACCUUAGACUCAUCUGUCACUCCAACUGCACUCCUUACCACUGUCACGCUAUCCUCAUACAUGUCCUGCAGCAAACUCAACAUUCUUCUUAUUGUAUGACUUCCUCAUACAGUAGCACAGUUCCUCUUUUGGCUUUCUCUAGAAACGCAAAGGCAAAGUGGGGGUCCUUGUUUAUAUUUCUCCAUAAAAAAGAAGAAAAGACAAAUUUGAAAACUAAUUGUGAAAUUAGAAGCAGUUACAAGAUGUACUGUUGUGGAUAUAUCUUGGCUACGUAGGAGUAGGAGAUGGAUUUUAUUAUUCCAUAGUUACAGCAUCACACUAUCUUCAUGUAACCCCAAAAGAAAGAAAUCAAGAAAUCAAAAUGCAAUGCGUACCGAAUUACGACAAGACAUUAAAAAUAAAUUAACACAUUUCUAAAGUCAGAAUUCUCCUCCAUAAUGUCGUUUGCCAUUAGUCUCUAUCAGAUAGUACCAGGAGCCCCUCUCCUACAUUGCCAGAUUGUUUAUUCAUGUGGAUGAGAUGCUUGAAGCUGAAAGUACACUAGGUCAGUUGACAGUAAUGUAUGUAUCCAAUAAACUAGCACAGCCGCAGCCUCAUCUUAAGCUGAUACAGCAUCAAAAGGGAACAAGUUAAUAAUAGUUUCUCACUGGACUGGUGAAAAAUAGUCUAGUCUUUGAACAGCUCUAAAACACGGCAUAAGUUUCAGCAUCCCAAAACAUCCUUCUUAUUACCAGUUUAUUUUCUGUAAUGUAUUAUUGUGAAGUGUUCAGAAAAAAGCCCCUCAACCUGAUGUGAAAGUAAAGUUAGAUUACUGGAAGCAUAGGAUGCACUUUAAUACAUUAGAACAGACACUGGCUGUUAAAAUUGAGGUAAGCCAGAAGGAGACACCUGUAAAUAUUGAUGAUGAAAGUAGCUAAAACAAUCAUGCCUACUACUAACAUUUAUAGAGACAUUGCCGUCACAGUUUAGCCUGAACAAAAUAACGAAGUACAUGCUGUGAAAUAGAUGUUUUUACUGUAAAUUGAUAAGAAUAUUUGAAAGCAAUGCAAUAAAACCCAAAAGACAUUCUGGGCCUUUGUGCAUGGAAGCACAUUAUCUUGCAUCUUGUCAACUAGUCAUUGAGACAUGAGGAAUAAGGCUGGUAAAUUGCAGUACAAACAUUUUUUCCUAAGAGUGGCUACAGAUCUUCUUGUGUGUAACAAACACAGAGAGAAACACUGUACAGGUAUUUUUUUAGAAUCCUUGCAUUCAGUAGUUUUGACAUUAACAAGCGCUGCACUUAAAAAAAAGCAUCCUCUGGCUUCUCUCACCCAUAAGCUGAUAGAAUAAACUUUCGAUUUGUCCACUUAAUACUGGUCAUUUAAAUCAGAUUCCUCAAUGAUGGUACUACGUAAAAUUUCCCGCCAGGUACAGGAUAACAUUUCCAGUGUAACUUAGUCAGUGUCAACAUAAAUAAACUAAAGCAACGAUUUACACUUCUUUCUUUUAGCUGAACUAAAACAACUGCUAUAGCCUUCCGUGGAUGUAGAGCAAUGAAAUAGAUUUGGUUAAAGUAAAUAAUGGCGACACAACUUGAUUAUGUUGCGACCAUGUGUCUCAGCCUGUGCCAUUCACAGCCACAUUGCUCAGGUAUUUACAGAUGAAAUUGUGCUGAAGCCUUGCUAAAAAGGUGUCAGGAAAUGUGAUUCUGUAAUACACUGCGAAUGUAAUGCUUCGCUCUUGCCAGAACAGCUGAGGCUCAUUUUAUUCCUCUCUCUGUGCUAAGGGCUGUAUAUAAAACUGAACCUAAUGAUGUUGAAACAAGCACGUGCGAGCUUAUGUGAAAGUGUUAGUGUUCGAGCUCGAGUGGAGCUCAUGCGCUUACCUUUGUCCAAUUGUGAUCGAAUGUGUGUGUUCUCAGGAGGGAGGAGUUGCUAGACUGUGGCUCGUCAGGUAAAUGAAUGGUGAUGCCUCUGUGUCUCAGUGGUGGGGACUAAUUCAGUUUCAAAAGCUGCAGAGCAUGCACUGAUAAAUCAUGCACCUGGAUUUAUGCACCAGUGGAACACAUUCUCUCGCUCGCUCGCUCUUUUUUUCUUUCUUUUUCUCUCUCUCUCUCUCCCUGCUUACCUUUCUUUGCAUGUCAGCCUAGUAUUUAUUUCACUGGGUGUUGCCAAGUGCCUUGGAGCCACCUCAGUCUUCACGACCAAUAGGCAAGUUAAUGAGUUAAAUUUAGAUUUGAGAAAACAAAUAGAAGAUGGCAAUACAAUAAGCAGUCGCCAUCAACAGGGAAUCUUUUAAGUCAAUUUGUGUAAGUAAAAAAUAUGUUUGAAAUUUUCACCAGAAGUUAUAUAUUAACAUUCAAAUGAGCUCCAAUUAAAAUGGUUUGCUACCUAAAUUAUUAAGGGCUCCAUGAGCUUAACGUAAUGUGUGAACAAACAGAAUGAGUCAGAGUGAGUCAGUGGGGAAAUAAAAAAUAAUCUAAUAAACAAGUCACUAAAUCUGUAGUAAAAGUUGUACAUCUUAAAUGAAAUGGUUCUAAUUCCCAGCUCUGAUUUUCACGUUUGAGGCAUUGCAGUUUGACUUAUUUAUGUGUGAAAUUUCACACUCACAUCUGAGAUAGAAAAGCAACGCGAAUGAAAUGAAGUGCUGACUUUUUGAACUUGGGUGAUCUUCCGUGCUGCCAGGCUUCAAUCGCCGUCCAUGUUUUUGCAUUUUAUUAGAUGCAGACAUCAAGUGCCUCAUGCAUUUACAUUUUAGGCUUUUGGCAGACAGGAGCUUACAUUAGGAGGAAAAUGAAUAAAGCAAGAAACUAGAAAAACACCAGUAAAGCAGGUCAGUGCUGAAAACAAGGAAAAAAGAAAAACAGAGAAAGGAUAUUGCCAAAUAGACAAAUAUGUAAUGAAAAACAGUGCUUAGAGUAUCUUCCAUAUAUCAGGUAAUGUCAAAGAGGAGGGAUACCUACGAGCAUACAGUAGGUUCAUCUAAAGCACUCUUGCAAAGCAAUACAAUAUAAAUAUAAAUAUAAUAUAAAAUAUAUGCAGAUAUUAUUUUGUAUACUGCACAAGCUAACAUCAUAUUUACAUUUUAAGUAAAGUUAAGUUUUUGGCAGAAAACCAUCAAAGCUUGUUUAUUAAUUUGUUUAUGCCCCUUUUGAACAGUGACACUAAAAUUAAAUAAGGGUAUCUUAUUUAAUCUAAUGUAAGAAAAUAUGAAAAGAGCAUUAUCUAACUGGCUCCUAUCUCCCUCCUAAAGUUAUAUUUAGCACUGACAAACUUGCAGCCUGUUAAAUGUCAGCUUGUUACUGAGUAAUCAGGAGAUGUGUUUCACAUCUCAGCAGGGGUGCCAUCAUACUUUCACUUUGUAUUUACUGAGAUUUAGGUUUGUUUUGAUUAUUAAAACUGUCAUGUCACAAUAUUUUUAAAACUUUACUCAUGAUGAAUUUGGCGUGAACAAAGCCUGAAAUGUUGAAAUAUUUCCUUAUGAAACUUUUGAGUAAAAGCAUGUUUUUUUUAAUUGGAGGACUAGAGGAAAGAGAGUUGUUAUGGGAACCAAAAUAUGAUCCUAAUUCUUUGCACUUGACAUAGCUUUGACAUUGCUGGCAGAACUCGAUGGCUUGAUGUUACACACCAAACAGAUGUUUUCAGUGCACUCUACAAGGACAACAAUUUCUAAACCUUUUUGAUACAAAUUAUUAUUAUAAUUAUUGUGACCUUUGAAAUUGGAGGUCAUAAUGCUACCGCUUAUCAGAAGCAUAAUCGAGCAGAAUAGAGAGCUGAAGCCAUGCUGGAUGAGGAUUUCCCCUCCUGAAGUCCAUAUGGAAGAACAGGAUAAAAAUGGUCAUAGAGUCAACAUAAUGUCAACAUGAUCAUCAACGUCCUCUCAAGAAUAAAGUUGGCAAAAGGACCUCCUAAACUUAGAUCAAAAUGUAGAGAUGAGUAACGUAAAACUCUCCAACCCAUAGAAAGGGCACGCCUCAGCGGGGUAGUUGGUUCAAUCUCCCUUUUGAUCAAAGAAAGGCUGAACAAAGAAAAGAAGAAUGCCAUUUUUAAAGUGCAGAAAUACAUUGCACUCCAUAACAAAGUAAUCAAAAUGAGGGCACAUAAUCAUCUUUGAUCUUAUUCUGUCCUUGUGUGUGUAAAACACACAGGCAAAAUAAGUCUUUCCUUCUCAGCAAACACAAAGACUUUUUAAAAGAAUAUAUUUCUCGAAAAUAACAUUAAAUUUUCUUACUUUCCGUUUUGUUAUGUGUAUAUGCUAUACAGUAGUAUGUAAACAUUAUGCAAUAUUAGAAGUAUGCUUUUUUCUUAAACAAUUUCCAAUACAAUCCAUGUUGCACUUAAGCUAAUCUUCCUACACCAUGGAGUCUCACUUGAACUAGUUACAAAAAGCCUUGAAUGUCUUAAUAAUUCAAUUCAGUUCAAUUAUGUUUUAUUUAUUUAGCACCAAAUCACAACAAUCACCUCAAAGCACAGCAGUCAUAUGAAUAAUGACAAUAUCCUUCAUGUCAACUAGAAAUGGUUUCAAGGAGCCUUUAUUCUACUCAAACCCGCAUACAACCAGUUUUAUGAAGGUGAACACCAUCUUUUUCUGUGACCUAAUAGGGGUCUGACUGCAUUGAAUUCCUGCACAAGCCCAAGUACAUAAUUGGGCAUGAUAUUAUGACCAUCUGGCUAAUAUUGUGCUGGUCCCCCUUCUCCUCCAAAAACAGCCCUGACCCAUUGAGGCAUUUAGGUCUUCACUAGACCCUUGAAGGUGUGUUAUGGUAUCUGCCACCAAUAUUUUAGCAACAGAUUAUUCAAGUCUUGUAAGCCCUGAUUUUGCACCUCCAAAAAUGGGACUUAUUCGUUUAACACAUCCCACAGAUGGAUGGCCACCUUCUUCCAUUGCUCAUGGUCCAAUUUUAAUGCGCGUUGUUGGUGCUUUCAGUGAUCGACAACUGCUAAGAGAUGUCAUGAUUAACAGCCUAGUUGGUAUAUUGUCAUUCAGAAUUUUUAACUUCUUUUUACUCUCUCCUUAGCACUUUACUUCGAUCCAUUAUAAAGACUCUUUGGUACAUUAUAACUACUUUCAUCUCCAGGGAGAGACAGUCGAUAACACAACCAUUUGUACAUAUGUUUUUUGGGGGGUUUUUUUACACACUGCCCCCCAGUGGCAGUAGACAGGCCUGCAAAGACGUACAUACUGUACAUCAGUGCAAAACCAUUGCACCAUCAAACUGAGCCAUUAAGGAUAAUUACACUCUGUCCUUGUAGUCAUGAUGAUAGCUGCGUCCUAGCAGAAAGUUGUGUCAAAAUGUUCUUAAGUACCAGUUUUCUUACUGAUUAUUAAUUUGGUGCUAACACCACUAAUAACGUAACGUAAUACAAAGAUGAAUGCGUUCUCCCAUGUUUCAUUGAAUUCAAGCCAGCACUUCCCAAGUUACUAAUGAGUCAAGUCACAGAUGGAGAUGAUCCAUUGCUACCAUCCAAACAGCAACUGCUGUCUGCUGUUGAAAUGAAUCGGGGAAAGACUCCAGGAGGUUAAUUUACAUCAUACGAAAUAAGGCACACUUAUUUGAUAUUAAUGUAAGAUUAUUAAAAGGUUUAGCAUUCAGAGUGAUGCGUGCAUUCAUGAUUUGUGUUGAUUCUUUAUGCCUUACUCUUACUGACUCAAAUUCCUGACACUGGUCAAAACUGCAUCUCAACAUAAAGAAGACAAACUUGUUUGUUGACCAGUGUUUAUCCCCAUACAUAAGCAGUUUCUCAUUCACUCACACUGACUGUUGAUGAACAGCUGCUGUCGACCACUAAAUGAGUUAUCACGUUCAGCAUUAAAGUCCAAAAUGUUUGAAUUGAACUAAUCAGAGGAACACUGCUGCUUGAAGUCAUGGAGAUUACUUUUUAUGAGUUCAUCUUUUUUUUUUUCUUUUAAUCAGCCCUGAUAUAAAGUCUGUCUUUUAACUUUUAAGUCUUUAUCUUGAUUGGCUGCAGCAACUUCACAGAACUUGAGUGUCAGCCUAUUUAAUGUCAAUUCAUUCUAAAUAAAGAGUUGAGUGUGGAAAUUAAAAUUUGCUGAGCGAGAAUAACGAAGAUGAUGAAUUCAAAUAAGCCUUUUUCAGACAUGCACUACUCUUCAUUAAUCUGAUGACAUCUCAACGUGUCAGCUUUAUAUCUGUAUGAGCACCCUGGUAUCUCUUCCUUAAGUCUGACCAGAAUGCAGUUUAUUGGACAGCCAUAUACUUGUGUCUCACUAAAGCACUCUAAAGAUUGUCCUAAACACCAAUACCUUGCACUGUGCACAUCAAAUUUUAUUUUCAGACAUUUGUCAAUGAUAGUUCUCUCCACAUACAUAGAGAAUGUGUGAUCAUGUUAUGUCAAUUCUAAAAAGUGCUGAUCUUUUACACACAUGGAAGUCAUUGCAGAAGUGAUUCGGCUUACUCUGACACUGCCGUAGGAGACCUAGUUUGUAACCAUGAAGAUCAUCAACAUGAAUAAUAUGAACAAAAGUAAUGGGUUCUUUAUUUUUAAACUCAGGCGUUUCAAGUCCCAUCGCCACAAGUGUAUACAAUCAAGCACCUAGCCAUGCAGUCUGCCUUUAUAAACAUUUGUGAAAGAAUGGUUGUUCUAAAGAGCUCACUGGAUCCUAGAAUAACAGGAUACCACUAUUGCAUCUUUUUUGUCUGCUAAUGAAAUAUCUUCCCUCCAAAUAAAACGUUUUAAGAGGUAUUGUUUCAAAGUAGAAGGAAGCACACCACUCCAGCUGCAAAGUGGUAGAGUUGCAGAGCCCAGUCACCUAGUCGAGUGUUGAGACACAUAGUAGUACGUUAAACUUGCCAGCGCUCUGUUGACUCAGACUUGCAAACCUUCUGAGACAUUAACAUCAGCACAAAAGCUGUGUGCCAAGAGCUUCAAGACAUGGGCUUCCUUGGCUUAGCAUCUCCUUUAGAUUUAAUGUGUAGAUGGCCCAGUGCUUUUGUCCAUGCUGGUAUAAAACAACGUAUAUUUGUGACUGUGUAGCAUAUCAGUGACACUGGUAUUAUUACAUAUGGAAGGUCUGAAAAGCAUGGAACUAUGGAGAAAGGGUAGAUCCCAGUGAGUCAUUAAAGUUUCUUUACAACUUAAGUGGCUGUAAUGAAAUUUUAAUUGGUCUGUCAACAGUUUCAAAAUGGUACCUGUGUGGACAGUGUAUAAAAAAUAGCACUGAGGUAAAAUUCCUCUUUCCUACUGUAUGAACUCUCUUAAUAUUGUAUGAUUAAUGAGGACUGUAGAAACCAUUUUAUAUCAACAGUGCAUUGAUGGUGCCCUCAUAGCCACUGAAGAAGUUUUCACUUUUUUCUUGAUACUGAUACUGACAUGAUACUGUAAAACGAUUGCAUGUCACUUACAUCAGGUCCAAACACAUGUACACACACGUGUUUUCUCCUGCAUGUGUGUAAAUUUAAGGGAAGACGUGAUGAAGGUUUCUUGCUAAAAAUUUCCUUCAUAAGUACUUUAUAUUUUUUUCACUCUUUCUAUUACUAUACAGUAAUUAAUGAGCCCAAAAGGCAGUGUGUGGAAAAAAGUAUUGGUAUGAAAUGUACUAGAAGUGUUUUUCAUUUUUCCUUAAUAAUGUAUGCAAAGCAAAGAAAAGAUUCAAUUUUCCUUUGUCACCAAUUCUUUGGGUGCCCAUUUUAGCAGGUAAAGCCAUUUAAUUGGCGACUGAACUAACUAUCUGGCACAUACGGAUACAAAAUGAGAUCAUUCUGAACUGUUCCAAUAAAAGACUAUAAAGAGUCUCUGAAGCAGCUUAUCGUGCCUUUGAUGUACAGAAAUCAACAGAAGUGCACAUAACAAUGGAAGGAUAUACAUUCGUUUAAAUCAAACUUUCAGAUUUGCAGUUCAAUUCACUGUUCAAACUUGUAAAGCAAGAAAUGUGUUGCCAAAAACAGACAUGGCAGAAAGUCUAUAUAAACAAAACUGAAGCACAAACAUAUACAAGGAUGUACAACUAAGAAAAAUAUUAUUACAUUUCUAAGCAUAAAUCACCACUGAAGAGAAAGAACUAAAAAAACAAAACAUGAACAAAAAUAUGAUUGAAAUACAACAACAAAAAACAAUACAAAAAAUACAAAACCAUUACAGGAAAUAGCGCAGAUCAAGUUCCUCAUUCAGCUCAUUGAGCCCAUCUGGAGCUGCAAACUCAGAUCAAAAAUCCAUUUAGCUUCUGCCUGCAGCAGAAGUUGGUUGUGGUCCUCACCCCUAGUGGGAUACUUGAUUGACUGUGUAGCCCAGAAUUUUAAUUCUGUCAGCAAGUGUCACGAAACAGUAAGAAGAGAUUUCCUAUUGAGGCUUUGUGUGCAGCACGGUAUACUCUCAAGAUGUUAGUCACAUGCUGUAGUAUGUAACACCCAGCCCACUUUAAAACAUUUUAAAGAUUCAUGACUUCAAUUAAGCAUUACUAGAAUUUGUCCUAUUUUCCUGGCACAGACACAGCCACCCACAGGGCUUCACAGAAACACAAAUUUCUCUAUGGUCCUUCUGUUUUGUCUCGUACACUUGUCAAUAAAAACAAAAGACCAGACCAGGCCGGACUGAUUUCCCCUGCCUGUUUGGAAGGAACAUACACAUAGAUACACACACACACACACAAUAGCCCUGACUCUGGGCUGGUCUAACAAAGAGUCCAGCAGCAACAAGCAAAUGCCAGAAAAUAGCUUUCACUUGUUGUUUCUCAGUAUCUAGAGAUCUGUUCUCUGGAAGGGCCUCUCUCUGGCUGUCAAAACGCAGACACGCAGCACAAACAGAAAUAUGCUCGCACAUAUACAGACUGAUUUUCAGUGAAACAAAAAAGAGACAGAAGAGACAGAAAGGACAGAUGCUCAUUCAGGAAAUGAAAACAUGCAGCCAGGGAAAAUAAGUAAGCGGGUGAGGAGUAGCAAUGAGGGAGAGCUUUUGAGCAGUUAGAUAAUGGGCGUGUGGAGAAUUUUGCCAGGGUCUGUUUAUGAGAGCGAGCAUGCCGACGUGGAUGUCUAUCUCGUAUACAAGCGAAGUGUGUUUGUGUAUGUCAGACAGAGCAGACCACAGGGGUAUUUUUUUGACCAGCUGUAGGAAAGUGAUUGGCUUGUUCUUUCUUGAAUGACAGCCCCUGUGCUCCAAAUGGUCAGCACAGAGACUGGCUGGUUCUCAGCUUCCCUCAUUAUUUUCUUUUCCAAGUCAAGAUUUCUUUCAUUGCUUUUCUCCCACUGAUCUCGUGGACUGCUGAAAUCAUGCGUGUGUCCUUUACUAACUUACACUGUUUUAAACAUUCCAAAAUAUGAUGCACAUCCUCACAGAACUACAUAAAAUAGCAGUAAAUAUUUUUCUCAAGUAUCAAGUAAACCAACUAAUCUAACAUUAACUGUACAUAUCACUGACAUACAUAGUAGGCAGAAUCAUGCAGAAGUAUGGGCAACUCUGCACGCAUGCACAUAGCAGCUAGUGAGUAAACUCUGAAAUUUGCUUCAGGCACUUUGUGGCCUUUGUUGCCGUAAAUUACCUCAGUUCUUGAUUAAACAAAACGUCAAAGUGUCUAAGCUCUAAAGUUGCUUAUAAAACACGCACACGUGCACACACCUCAACAUAAACUGUCACACAGGCACGCUGUAUGCAGUCACACACAUAUAUUUCCAAUUACUCAUUGGUUUGCCGCUUAAUGAUUUGACUUUGGAGUAGAGGGAAUUAAAUGGUUCACUAGGCAGACUUUUGCAAGGUGUUCAGCAUCCACAGCUUUUUCCUCAUCUUCAUCCUCCUCUUCUCUUCCCUAUCCUGCCUUCUGCCCCCCACUCUGCAUAGUAAUGCCUUUGAAUUGAGCUGUUCAUUCAGCCAAGCACAGAUAAGUGUAGAAAGCGGGAUGAACACAAUAGGGAAAUAGAGGGAAAAAAAAAAAAGAGGAUGGGGGGAUUGAGCUUUUGGGUGAAGAAAAAAAUGGUUUUGUUCUCUCUCUUUUUCUUUUUUCUUUUUCUUUCUCUGGUAUACCUUGACAAGGGCAAGGAGAGUAAGGUGACAGCUGGACAAAAAUGAAUUGAAGUCAUCUGCAUGCAGCCAGAAAAAUUGUCAGAAGAUUUUUUUUCCUCUUUCGUUAUUUUAUACCCAACGAUGAGGCGAUCUUAACAGUGACAUCAGGUUUUAACAUUUCAUAAUUGCUUAAAUGGCAAGGUGGUGCAUUGGCAGUCUGUAUCUAUAUGUGUGCAUGGAUGCUUGUGUGUAUUUAUGCAGAUUGUAGAUAUAACUGUCAUUGUGCUUCAUAUCAGAAGCCAACACUACAGGCAGUUUGGAAACAGAAUACUGAAGGACAAACAUGCAAUAGAGAGCACAGGAGAAGAAAGCUUGAGAAGAUUUAAUAGCAAAAGAAAAAGAUAAGGGUUAGAGGGGAAGAAGCUAUUGUAGAAUUGCACAAACAGCUCCAAAGAGUAACGCUAGCCCAGGUGAAUAAAGGAAUAUCUCAGUUAUGGAGACAUUUCAGACUUCCAGUGUUUUGAUGAUGCGGUAUGCAACUAUGAAUUGAGCUCAGCGCACAUUGUUUGAAGUCAUAAGAGGCUCCCCGAGUGCUCAAAGUUACCAGUGCUGUGCUGACUCAAAAACCUCCUCUGGUAUUAACAUCAGCACAAAAACUAUGUGACAGGAGCUUCGUGUCGUGGGUUUUCAUGACCUAGCAGCUACUGUCCAUGUAAUCUGUAGGUACUCCAGUACUUUUUUUUCUAUAGUGUGGAAGCUACUUUAAAAAGUACCGAUAUAAGCAGCAAUUACACCUGGCAACUUCCACUUGAUUGCUAUGAUUUAAAAGAAGAGAAAAAAUGCUGUUUCCAGUCAACUUGCUUUAAAAAGCAAAUUUAAUGUAACUUUAAGGUUUGCAUUGCUGAAUCAUCAGUUACCAGUCGUUGCACAAGUUAAACAGUAUUGUCUUUCACAUGAUCAGAGUGGCUGCUUGAUCUGUUGCCUAGCCACUGAUGGAUGUGUCCAAACUUCCUGCAGAACCACGACAAUUUGUGGAUUUGUGAGAUUUUAUGUCUUUAGGUGUAAAAGCCAUAACUCUAGCUAUGUCAUGGUCAGGAGCAUAACUAUUAAUGUGCUUGCUGUUUUUAUUUAUUUAUUUACUUACUUAUUUAUUGGUGACAUACAUACAAUACUACGCUGCAACCUUCUCUUUCAAAAGGCAUACUUUAUUUAUUCCAUAAACCUUUAUGGAAUAAAUAAAGAUUAAAUAUGAAACUGAGAGGAAUUCAUUGAUAAAAGAAGCACUGUCCACUCCUUCACAACAGUGGAAGUUCAGUAGCUCUGAGCUAAGUGUGAACUCUUGACCAUUUCCUCCUUUUGCAGAUAGCAUAUCUUCAGGGGUACACUCUUGGGUCACUGAAGAGUCAGCUUAAAGCAGGCUGUCUGUGCAAGUUAUUUUUUUCCCAUACACUCAUGCACUGCCCUGCCCACUCCAUGUCUUAUCUGAAAUAACACAUGGCUGUCUAGUGUCUUGCUCUCUUCUAGUUACCUGCUAGGCUAUUAAUGAGGCUUCUUCCCAGUGGUGUGUGCAAACUGUUCUGUGCAUGUGUGUGUCGAAAGUAAUGCAUGGGGGAACGGGGUUGUGUUGUGUGUUUAUUUCAGAGAGCAGAGGAGAAUGCACAGAAGUGAAAAUAGUUCAGGGACUGUGGUGAGGUGGAUUAGUGGGCGGUUAGAGGUUCUCCCCGUCAUGUAUCAGGUCAAGUGAAGGAAGAGAAACUAAGUAGGAGGAAAGAAAACAAGAAUGAUGUAGUGAGAAGAGGAGAUCAUUUUAACGAGUGCCUCUUUUACUCAUCCAGUGGGAUUCUAUAGUAU